UAGUGAAAUUGGCCUAUAAUU
rnacentral:piRNA from 1 species